rnacentral:rRNA from 1 species
UGGGGAAUCUUGCGCAAUGGGCGAAAGCCUGACGCAGCAACGCCGCGUGGGGGAUGAAGGCUCUCGGGUUGUAAACCCCUUUCAGCAGGGACGAAAUUGACGGUACCUGCAGAAGAAGCCCCGGCCAACUACGUGCCAGCAGCCGCGGUAAUACGUAGGGGGCGAGCGUUGUCCGGAUUCAUUGGGCGUAAAGAGCUCGUAGGCGGUUUGGCAAGUCGGAUGUGAAACUCCAGGCUCAACCUGGAGCCGCCAUUCGAGACUGCUAUGACUAGAGUCCGGUAGGGGAGUGUGGAAUUCCCGGUGUAGCGGUGAAAUGCGCAGAUAUCGGGAGGAACACCGAUGGCGAAGGCAGCACUCUGGGCCGGUACUGACGCUGAGGAGCGAAAGCGUGGGGAGCGAACAGGAUUAGAUACCCUGGUAGUCCACGCCGUAAACGUUGGGCACUAGGUGUGGGGCCUUAUCAACGGGUUCCGUGCCGCAGCUAACGCAAUAAGUGCCCCGCCUGGGGAGUACGGCCGCAA